rnacentral:rRNA from 1 species
CUGCGAGUCUUUGUAGCAAUACAAGGCAGACGGCUCAGUAACACGUAGUCAAUCUACCCUAUGGACGGGGAUAACCUCGGGAAACUGAGAAUAAUACCCGAUAGAUCAUUAUACCUGGAAUGGUCUAUGGUUCAAAUGAUUUUUCGCCAUAGGAUGGGACUGCGGUCUAUCAGCUUGUUGGUGAGGUAAUGGCCCACCAAGGCUAUAACAGAUACGGGCUCUGAGAGGAGAAGCCCGGAGAUGGGUACUGAGACACGGACCCAGGUCCUAUGGGGCGCAGCAGGCGAGAAAACUUUGCAAUGUGCGAAAGCACGACAAGGUUAAUCCGAGUGUUUUCUGCUAAAGAAAUCUUUUGUCAGUCCUAAAAACACUGACGAAUAAGGGGUGGGCAAGUUCUGGUGUCAGCCGCCGCGGUAAAACCAGCACCUCAAGUGGUCAGGAGGAUUAUUGGGCCUAAAGCAUCCGUAGCCGGCUCUGUAAGUUUUCGGUUAAAUCUAUAUGCUCAACAUAUAGGCUGCCGGGAAUACUGCAGAGCUAGGGAGUGGGAGAGGUAGAUGGUACUCGGUAGGAAGGGGUAAAAUCCUUUGAUCUAUUGAUGACCACCUGUGGCGAAGGCGGUCUACUAGAACACG